ensembl:piRNA 21ur-11164 ncRNA
UCAGGAUACGAAUAUACGGAU